rnacentral:rRNA from 1 species
UACGUAGGGUGCGAGCGUUGUCCGGAAUUACUGGGCGUAAAGAGCUCGUAGGUGGUUUGUCGCGUUGUUCGUGAAAACUCACAGCUCAACUGUGGGCGUGCGGGCGAUACGGGCAGACUGGAGUACUGCAGGGGAGACUGGAAUUCCCGGUGUAGCGGUGGAAUGCGCAGAUAUCAGGAGGAACACCGGUGGCGAAGGCGGUUCUCUGGGACGGUACUGACGCUGAGACGCGAAAGCGUGGGGAGCGAACAGG